UCGACUACUAUCCUAUUUUCA
ensembl:piRNA 21ur-15028 ncRNA